rnacentral:rRNA from 1 species
GAUUGAACGCUGGCGGCAGGCCUAACACAUGCAAGUCGAACGGUAACAGGAAGCAGCUUGCUGCUUCGCUGACGAGUGGCGGACGGGUGAGUAAUGUCUGGGAAACUGCCUGAUGGAGGGGGAUAACUACUGGAAACGGUAGCUAAUACCGCAUAAUGUCGCAAGACCAAAGAGGGGGACCUUCGGGCCUCUUGCCAUCGGAUGUGCCCAGAUGGGAUUAGCUAGUAGGUGGGGUAACGGCUCACCUAGGCGACGAUCCCUAGCUGGUCUGAGAGGAUGACCAGCCACACUGGAACUGAGACACGGUCCAGACUCCUACGGGAGGCAGCAGUGGGGAAUAUUGCACAAUGGGCGCAAGCCUGAUGCAGCCAUGCCGCGUGUAUGAAGAAGGCCUUCGGGUUGUAAAGUACUUUCAGCGGGGAGGAAGGCGAUAAGGUUAAUAACCUUGUCGAUUGACGUUACCCGCAGAAGAAGCACCGGCUAACUCCGUGCCAGCAGCCGCGGUAAUACGGAGGGUGCAAGCGUUAAUCGGAAUUACUGGGCGUAAAGCGCACGCAGGCGGUCUGUCAAGUCGGAUGUGAAAUCCCCGGGCUCAACCUGGGAAACUGCAUUCGAAACUGGCAGGCUAGAGUCUUGUAGAGGGGGGUAGAAUUCCAGGUGUAGCGGUGAAAUGCGUAGAGAUCUGGAGGAAUACCGGUGGCGAAGGCGGCCCCCUGGACAAAGACUGACGCUCAGGUGCGAAAGCGUGGGGAGCAAACAGGAUUAGAUACCCCUGGUAGUCCACGCCGUAAACGAUGUCGACUUGGAGGUUGUGCCCUUGAGGCGUGGCUUCCGGAGCUAACGCGUUAAGUCGACCGCCUGGGGAGUACGGCCGCAAGGUUAAAACUCAAAUGAAUUGACGGGGGCCCGCACAAGCGGUGGAGCAUGUGGUUUAAUUCGAUGCAACGCGAAGAACCUUACCUACUCUUGACAUCCAGAGAACUUUCCAGAGAUGGAUUGGUGCCUUCGGGAACUCUGAGACAGGUGCUGCAUGGCUGUCGUCAGCUCGUGUUGUGAAAUGUUGGGUUAAGUCCCGCAACGAGCGCAACCCUUAUCCUUUGUUGCCAGCGGUUAGGCCGGGAACUCAAAGGAGACUGCCAGUGAUAAACUGGAGGAAGGUGGGGAUGACGUCAAGUCAUCAUGGCCCUUACGAGUAGGGCUACACACGUGCUACAAUGGCGCAUACAAAGAGAAGCGACCUCGCGAGAGCAAGCGGACCUCAUAAAGUGCGUCGUAGUCCGGAUUGGAGUCUGCAACUCGACUCCAUGAAGUCGGAAUCGCUAGUAAUCGUGGAUCAGAAUGCCACGGUGAAUACGUUCCCGGGCCUUGUACACACCGC